rnacentral:rRNA from 1 species
CGCUGGCGGCAGGCCUAACACAUGCAAGUCGAGCGGUAGCACAGAGAAGCUUGCUUCUUGGGUGACGAGCGGCGGACGGGUGAGUAAUGCAUAGGAAUCUGCCCGAUAGUGGGGGAUAACCUGGGGAAACCCAGGCUAAUACCGCAUACGUCCUACGGGAGAAAGGGGGCUCCGGCUCCCGCUAUUGGAUGAGCCUAUGUCGGAUUAGCUAGUUGGUGAGGUAAAGGCUCACCAAGGCAACGAUCCGUAGCUGGUCUGAGAGGAUGAUCAGCCACAUCGGGACUGAGACACGGCCCGAACUCCUACGGGAGGCAGCAGUGGGGAAUAUUGGACAAUGGGCGCAAGCCUGAUCCAGCCAUGCCGCGUGUGUGAAGAAGGCCUUCGGGUUGUAAAGCACUUUCAGCGAGGAAGAACGCCUAGUGGUUAAUACCCAUUAGGAAAGACAUCACUCGCAGAAGAAGCACCGGCUAACUCCGUGCCAGCAGCCGCGGUAAUACGGAGGGUGCGAGCGUUAAUCGGAAUUACUGGGCGUAAAGCGCGCGUAGGUGGCUUGAUAAGCCGGUUGUGAAAGCCCCGGGCUCAACCUGGGAACGGCAUCCGGAACUGUCAAGCUAGAGUGCAGGAGAGGAAGGUAGAAUUCCCGGUGUAGCGGUGAAAUGCGUAGAGAUCGGGAGGAAUACCAGUGGCGAAGGCGGCCUUCUGGACUGACACUGACACUGAGGUGCGAAAGCGUGGGUAGCAAACAGGAUUAGAUACCCUGGUAGUCCACGCCGUAAACGAUGUCGACCAGCCGUUGGGUG